GACGAACGCUGGCGGCGUGCCUAAUACAUGCAAGUAGAACGCUGAAGGAGGAGCUUGCUUCUCUGGAUGAGUUGCGAACGGGUGAGUAACGCGUAGGUAACCUGCCUGGUAGCGGGGGAUAACUAUUGGAAACGAUAGCUAAUACCGCAUAAGAGUAGAUGUUGCAUGACAUUUGCUUAAAAGGUGCAAUUGCAUCACUACCAGAUGGACCUGCGUUGUAUUAGCUAGUCGGUGGGGUAACGGCUCACCAAGGCGACGAUACAUAGCCGACCUGAGAGGGUGAUCGGCCACACUGGGACUGAGACACGGCCCAGACUCCUACGGGAGGCAGCAGUAGGGAAUCUUCGGCAAUGGACGGAAGUCUGACCGAGCAACGCCGCGUGAGUGAAGAAGGUUUUCGGAUCGUAAAGCUCUGUUGUAAGAGAAGAACGAGUGUGAGAGUGGAAAGUUCACACUGUGACGGUAUCUUACCAGAAAGGGACGGCUAACUACGUG
rnacentral:rRNA from 1 species